AUUGAACGCUGGCGGCAGGCCUAACACAUGCAAGUCGAGCGAGCGGCGGACGGGUGAGUAAUGUCUGGGAAACUGCCUGAUGGAGGGGGAUAACUACUGGAAACGGUAGCUAAUACCGCAUACCAUCAGAUGUGCCCAGAUGGGAUUAGCUAGUAGGUGGGGUUACGGCUCACCUAGGCGACGAUCCCUAGCUGGUCUGAGAGGAUGAACAGCCACACUGGAAGUGAGAAAAGGUCCAGACUCCUACGGGAGGCAGCAGGGGGGAAUAUUGCACAAUGGGUGCAAGCCAGAUGAAGCCAUGCCGCGUGGGGGAAGAGGGCCUUCGGGUUGUAAAGCACUUUCAGCGGGGAGGCGUUACCCGCAGAAGAAGCACCGGCUAACGCCGUGCCAGCAGCCGCGGUAAUAC
rnacentral:rRNA from 1 species